UUUUAUGCGAUUGAUUCCGUCUCCUCAAAAUUCUGCUACUAAUUUUUAUUGCCUUGCUCAAAUAUGCUAUUUCCUUACUUUUCCCCCUUUUUUUUUGUUAAAGAUUCUUUCAUCGCCUUAAAAUUAGGGUUUCAAGCUCUGGUUUUCAGGAAUUAGGGUUCCCUUUUUUCGAGGUCAUCAGGAAUUGGUGCGUCUAUGAUAAACGCAAACAGCCAUCGAUAAAUGCUGAUCGGCGCCACCGUUUACUGUCUAUAGUGACCAAGGAUUUUCAGUUGAUGUCGUCGGUUAUCGUUGGUCUCUCUGGCAUUGAUCGUCCUCAUACUUCCCUGAUAUGUUCUGUUGCUGGGAAAGAGAUGGUGGAUGCAAUUAUCAAGAAUGAGACUGCAGGGUAUGUAAAGAUAGAUACAAAGGCUCCUUUAGUGAAAAGUAUGCCUUCUUUCCAGGGAUUAAAUUGGAAUGGGAUAAACGCUUGGCUGAGAAGCGAGAAGCUGAGCUAGGCUGCAAAACAUAGAACUUCAAAAGG